GAAGGGCUCAGCCCGCUAAGGCGUUAGCCGAUAGCAUCUGCCUUCUAAGCAGACGGUCAAAGGUUCGAAUCCUUUUGCGAUCA
rnacentral:tRNA from 1 species